GUGAGUCAUCGAAUCUUUGAACGCACAUUGCGCCCCUUGGUAUUCCAUGGGGCAUGCCUGUUCGAGCGUCAUCUACACCCUCAAGCUCUGCUUGGUGUUGGGCGUCUGUCCCGCCUUCGUGCGUGGACUCGCCCCAAAUUCAUUGGCAGCGGUCCUUGCCUCCUCUCGCGCAGCACAUUGCGCUUCUCGAGGUGCGCGGCCCGCGUCCACGAAGCAACAUUACCGUCUUUGACCUCGGAUCAGGUAGGGAUACCCGCUGAACUUAAGCAUAUCAAUAAGCGGAGGA
rnacentral:misc_RNA from 1 species